UGAGGAAUAUUGGUCAAUGGGCGAGAGCCUGAACCAGCCAAGUAGCGUGAAGGAUGAAGGUCCUAUGGAUUGUAAACUUCUUUUAUAGUAGAAUAAAGUGACCCACGUGUGGGUUUUUGUAUGUAUACUAUGAAUAAGGAUCGGCUAACUCCGUGCCAGCAGCCGCGGUAAUACGGAGGAUCCGAGCGUUAUCCGGAUUUAUUGGGUUUAAAGGGUGCGUAGGCGGAAUAAUAAGUCAGUUGUGAAAGUUUGCGGCUCAACCGUAAAAUUGCAGUUGAUACUGUUAUUCUUGAGUGUACAUAAGGUAGUCGGAAUUCGUGGUGUAGCGGUGAAAUGCUUAGAUAUCACGAAGAACUCCAAUUGCGAAGGCAGCUUACCGGGGUACAACUGACGCUGAAGCACGAAAGUGUGGGUAUCAAACA
rnacentral:rRNA from 1 species